GACCCUACGGGGCGCAGCAGUAGGGAAUCUUCGGCAAUGGGCAAAAGCCUGACCGAGCAACGCCGCGUGAAUGAAGAAGGCCUUCGGGUUGUAAAAUUCUGUUAUAAGGGAAGAAAGGUGAUAGGAGGAAAUGACUAUCAAUUGACGGUACCUUAUGAGAAAGCCACGGCUAACUACGUGCCAGCAGCCGCGGUAAUACGUAGGUGGCAAGCGUUGUCCGGAUUUACUGGGUGUAAAGGGCGUGCAGCCGGGAAGACAAGUCAGAUGUGAAAUCCCGCGGCUCAACCGCGGAACUGCAUUUGAAA
rnacentral:rRNA from 1 species